rnacentral:rRNA from 1 species
UGGUCAAGUUAUUAAGGGUGCAGGGUGGAUGCCUUGGCACUAGGAGCCGAUGAAGGACGUGAUAAGCUGCGAUAAGCUUCGGGGAGUUGCACGUAAACUUUGAUCCGAAGAUUUCCGAAUGAGGAAACUCACUUAGAGUAAUGUCUAAGUAUCAUUAAGUGAAUACAUAGCUUAAUGAGGGGAACUCAGGGAACUGAAACAUCUAAGUACCUGAAGGAAGAGAAAGAAAUUCGAUUCCGUAAGUAGCGGCGAGCGAACGCGGAUUAGCCCAAACCAAUAAAGUUUUCUUUAUUGGGGUUGCGGACAUAUCAUAACGAAGAGGUAUCGUAAUUGAAGAGGUUUGGAAAGACCCACCACAGAAGGUAAUAGUCCUGUAUGUUAAACGAGAAGACUUCAGAUAUGAUCCAGAGUACCACGGGACACGUGAAACCCUGUGGGAAGCAGGAG